AAAUAAAUGUAUAAAAUAAAUGCAGCUUUGAUGGAUCUAAGAGACUUUUUCAUAACAUUAAACAUCUUACCACCCCAAACUUUUAAAUAGUAUAUAGAUCAGCAAAUAAUGAAAUACACUGAUAUUUAAAUUUGUUUUGCAUUCUUUUGUGGUCAGGCCAGUACAAAUGUUGGCAAAGCAAGUAAAAUCAAGAACUGGCCAGCAGACAAAACCUUUGGGUGUGCCCUGGGCUGGAUCAGAUUUUAGAUUCUAUGAAGGUGGUCAAUAUGUAACAUCUGGCCAAUCUAAACUGGACAUUGUCAGACUUCUGAAACUGGUUACCUUGAUCUAUGGUUGCUUUAUAUGUGAGCAAGAGGAGAGAUGGCAACUUCUUUUCUGCAUUGAGCCAAA